UACAGAGGUCCCGAGCGUUGUUCGGAUUUACUGGGCGUAAAGCGCGUGUAGGCGGCUUGGCAAGUCGGAUGUGAAAGCCCACGGCUCAACCGUGGAAGCGCAUCCGAAACUGCUUCGCUCGAGUCUCGGAGAGGAAGGUGGAAUGCUUGGUGUAGAGGUGAAAUUCGUAGAUAUCAAGCAGAACACCUGCGGCGAAGGCGGCCUUCUGGACGAUGACUGACGCUGAGACGCGAAAGCGUGGGGAGCAAACAGG
rnacentral:rRNA from 1 species